CGAGCACGCGCGUGUGGCAUAUCAAUAAGCGGAGGAAAAGAAACUAACAAGGAUUCCCUUAGUAACGGCGAGUGAAGCGGGAAGAGCUCAAAUUUGAAAUCUUCAAGGUUCUACCUUGACGAAUUGUAGUUUAUAGAAGUGUUUUCUGUUAGUGGAGUGGCAAAAGUUCUUUGGAAUAGGACAUCAUAGAGGGUGAGAAUCCCGUAUUUGGUCAUUCCUCCUAGCGUUGUGAUACACUUUCAAAGAGUCGGAUUGUUUGGGAAUGCAGUCCAAAAUGGGUGGUAAAUUUCAUCUAAAGCUAAAUAUUGGCGAGAGACCGAUAGCGAACAAGUACCGUGAGGGAAAGAUGAAAAGAACUUUGAAAAGAGAGUUAAACAGUACGUGAAAUUGUCAAAAGGGAAGCGUUUGACACCAGUGUUGUUUUUCCGAAAAUCAAUUACGAGUGUUUUGUUUUUGAGGAGUUAUGACUUCAUCGGCUUGCUCCUUUCUUUACGAAACUUUCUUAAUGCACUUUUCGGUUAACAAGUCAACAUCAAUUUCUUUUGUUGUAAAAGGGUAUGAGGAAGGUGGCUUUCUUUUCGGAGAAAGUGUUUAUAGCCUUGUGCCUCUGCAAUCGGAGAGAUUGAGGUCUGCAGCGUAGAUCCUUCGGGGUUAGAUACGUUUGUGCUAAGUUAUAGCUUUUCAUAGACAACUUGUUGACUAUGAUCAGUCAUGUAGCUUACUCGCUUAUGCUAUUUUACCUACGCUUAGGAUGUUGAUGUGAUACUGCGAGC
rnacentral:rRNA from 1 species